rnacentral:rRNA from 1 species
UACGAAGGGGUCUAGCGUUGUUCGGAAUCACUGGGCGUAAAGGGCGCGUAGGCGGCUUUAUAAGUCGGGGGUGAAAGCCUGUGGCUCAACCACAGAAUUGCCUUCGAUACUGUAGAGCUUGAGACCGGAAGAGGUUAGUGGAACUGCGAGUGUAGAGGUGAAAUUCGUAGAUAUUCGCAAGAACACCAGUGGCGAAGGCGGCUGACUGGUCCGGUACUGACGCUGAGGUGCGAAAGCGUGGGGAGCAAACAGG